rnacentral:lncRNA from 1 species
GAACAAUAUUAAGGCAAAAAUUGCAUAUUGCCUUCUUGCGUACACGUGUCUCUGUCUGACAAGUUGACUGCUUGAUUUUGACAUUCGGAAUCCCAUCUUGCAUUCUUACAUGUACAUGCCUUUAUUUGAUAUUCAGUUUGAUUUGAUUUUGCCUGCUUCAUAUAUUCGUCUCGCUUUCGGACAUGCUGUAAUCUGAUAUACUACUUCAUCCUACUGACUAGUGGUUCCGUACAUCUUGCCUUCUCGGACCGUCAAUGGUGUAUACUUAUUGACGAAGAUAACAUCUACCUAUCGGACAUGCUGUAAUCUGACAUACUACUUCAUCAUACUCAACUAGUGGUUACUUACAUCGUGCCUUCUUGGAGCGUCAAUGGUGUAUACUUCUUGGUGAAAACAACUUAAGCGGUUCCUUAACUAUGUGAUUGCAAGGAGCUGGGUUAUGAAAUAAUUUCAGUGCAUUCUUAAAUUCUUGUUCAGGUGGAGAUAACCCCUUUUACGGAAACACACGAACUGUACCGAGAGUGUUAAGACUACACGUCCGGUAACCGCACUAAACACCAUAUAUUCCUAUUUGAAUCCAAGUAAAAUGAGUAUAUUUUUCGAGACUCUACCUUUAAUCGGAUUAUAUAAAUAGCGCGCUAUAAAUAGCCUACAGAACAGAAUUAUGUCAUUAUCUGAGUACUAGUCGAAAUAAUUACACGUUCAUACAUGUAUUGUUUUAUAUUUGUGUCGCUGACGGGGAUAUUGCCCAUAUGAAAAAUAUCACAAUAUUUCCUAGGAUCGCGUCAAAUUAGUUGGACUACUGUUGCUUAUUCAAAGGAGACAUGAUAUUGAACAUUUUGAGAAAUGGCACUGUGGUCAGCAUUUGUCUCACGUGAACUGUGGAGACAUUUGGAUACUGUAGCUGAAAGUUCAUCACAAAGUGCUGGUGUUUUUAUAUGUACAAGAGCAGACGGCAACAGAAUUGGAGGUUACCCAAAUCUAAAGAUGUUGAGGAGUACAAGAAACAACAAAAAAAGCUAUGAAAAACAAAUGAAAUAAAAACAACGUGAAAUUAUAUUGAAUCAUGGCCCUGGGUUCCAGACCGUUCGACAACAACGAAAAAAAAGAAGAUUUUUUAGCUCACCAGAGCACAAAGUGCUUAAGGUGAGCUAUUGUGAAUGACCGGCAUCCGUCGGCGUGCGUCUUGCGUAAACAUUUGCCUUGUGAACACUCUAGAGGCCACAUUUAUGACCCAAUCUUUAUGAAACCUGGUCAGAAUGUUAGUCUUGAUGAUCUCUAGGUCAAGUUUGAAAGUGGGUUAUGUGGGGUCAAAAACUAU